rnacentral:rRNA from 1 species
AAGAAGGGGGCUAGCGUUGUUCGGAAUUACUGGGCGUAAAGCGCACGUAGGCGGACUAUUAAGUCAGGGGUGAAAUCCCGGGGAUCAACCCCGGAACUGCCUUUGAUACUGGUAGUCUCGAGUCCGGAAGAGGUGAGUGGAAUUCCGAGUGUAGAGGUGGGAUUCGUAGAUAUUCGUAGGAACACCAGUGGCGAAGGCGGCUCACUGGUCCGGUACUGACGCUGAUGUGCGAAAGCGUGGGGAGCAGACAA